UGGUAACUUGCUCAAGGUCCAGAGCUAAUAGACAGCAGCGCUGGCAAUGAGGCAGUGAUUGAGGUGCCUGUGGCUGUCUUCCUGCUGUCCCGGUAACCACUGUCAUCUGACCUAAAACCACGGACUGAGAAUGUUUCAGGCCAUGGCCAGUUGCUAAUGAACUUCCUAGUUUGCAUAGUUGUUGCUGACUCGGGCCAUGGAGGAUGUCCUGUGAGUGCAGACCCGUGUGGCUACUCAAGUUCCAGAGGGCUCAUCAAAAACAGGUUCUUGCUUUGAACAACAGAACACUUUGAGUGACUCACUGGUCAGAUGCUGUAAGGUAUUUUUUU
rnacentral:lncRNA from 1 species